ACAUUUCCCUCCAUCAUCUCUGUCCUGAUUCAUUAACAGGAGAAAUUUCUUCCACAGCUUUUUCUCCUCCAGUCCACAGCCGUCUCACUACAUUCCAGAUCAUUCAGAGUAAAAUGAAUCAGACUGCGGCUCGGGCAGCUUGCAGAGAAAAUUACACCGACCUCGUCACUGUGUACUCUGAUGAAGACACACUGACCUGCAUAAUAUGAAGAAGACUUAUCGUGGAGAAGGCUGGAUCGGUCUCUAUCGCAGUAACUUCAGUGAGAAAUGGUCUAAUGGUGAUCCUGUAACAUUCAGAAAUCUGGCAGGGGAUUGUGGGAAUUCGAGCUACUGUGCUGCUAUGAAGGCUGAUGGUUCAUGGGAAAGUCUUCAGUGCACAGAGACGCGAUAUUUCAUGUGCUAUGAAGAAGAUGCUUCUUCACAGACUCCUAAUUAUCAUCUAAUCCUUGAGAGUAAGACCUGGUCUGGUGCUCAGAGUUACUGCAGGGGGAAAUACACUGACCUGGUCAGUAUCAGAGAUCAGCAGCAGAAUGAAGAGGUGAAGAUUAAAGGGUUAACAGCACCACGUCCUUCUGGAUCGGCCUGCCUGUGUGAUGACUGGCAGUGGACCGAUGGAGGAAACUCCGCCUUCAGAAACUGGGGAGUGGUGAACCUUGGGAUCACCAUCAGAGGACUGUGUAGUAUUGAGUGGAGGGAAAUGGUAUUCAUUUUCAUGCACUGACCUGAAUCCCCCUCUGUGCUACAGCGCUUCCAUCCAUGUGAGUGAUGAGGCUCUGAGCUGGGAGGAAGCGCUGGAUUACUGUCGUGAAGGGAACAGGGCUGGAAUUCUCAACAUCGAUUCUGAAUCUGAACAGGAAGAGCUGGAGUCUGAGCUCAAGAGGGGGCGUGUCUCUGAGCCGGUGUGGGUGGGGCUUAGACAGAGCCGACUCUUUGGGUUCUGGAUCUGGGCCGAUGGGAAGGCCGUGUUUCCGUACUCCUACUGGGAUGAAGGGAAACAGCCCGAGCAUUAUCUCUCUCAGCACUGCGGCGCCGUCGAUCCACGGAGCGACUUCAGAUGGAGAGAUAUGAACUGUCAGUCUCGGUAUAAAGCUCUGUGUCUCAUCAAAUGCUCUCCAUGAACCUCCUCCAUAUUAUAUAUAUUUAUAUAUUUAUAUUAUUCAUUUCAAGCUUGAACUGGUCUGUAGGUAAUAGUUUUUAUUAUUUCAAGUCUUUAUUUCUAGAAAGAAGCAAAAUUAUUUUUCUUGAAAUUUAAGAAAAUUUAAGCUUGACAUGUGUAAAUGAGUUCAUGCUAUUAGUUAUAUUAUAUAUUAUUAUUAUAUAUUAUAUUAUAAAAUCAUUCUGAGGAACUUUAACUAACUUUUCCUUUAUUCCAAAUUAAUUCAUUUCCUAAGAAAACAUUAUGCAGUGUAAGAGUUCUAACUGUUUCCCCCAAUACUGUACUCUCACUCUGUCUCUGUCUCUCUGUCUCUCUCUCUGUGUCUGUCUGUCUCUCUCUCUGUCUCUCUCUCUCUGUCUGUCUCUCUGUCUCUCUCUCUGUCUGUCUCUCUCUCUCUGUCUGUCUGUCUGUCUCUCUCUCUGUCUCUCUCUCUCAAUCUCUCUCUGUUUCUCUCUCUCUGUCUCUCUCUCUAUGUCUGUCUCUCUCUCCCUGUCUCUCUCUCUGUCUGUCUGUCUCUGUCUCUCUCUCUGUCUCUCUCUCUGUCUGUCUCUCUCUCUCUCUGUCUGUCUCUGUCUCUCUCUCUCUGUCUCACUCUCUCUCAGUCUCUCUCUCAGUCUCUCUCUCACUCUCUCUCUCAGGAUUGUGGGUAGUGGGAGGAGUCGGGAGUUUUGCGAGCACGAUUUUGAGAGUUUGUUACUUUUAAUCAAUUUCUUCGUUCUUCGUGGAAAAAAGAUUCGUGGAAAAAAGAUUAAUCUUAGACAUCAAACUUCUUUGAGCGCCGACUUCGGUCGGAAAACUUUGACAAAAGGGGAGGGGAGAUUUCCCAGGUUGACUCUGAGACAUGGAUUUACAUGUACACCUGAUGACUCCGUAUCUGUGGAAGAUGUGCUGGUUGCAGUCAGUGAACAGCUCCUGUUCUCUCUGAUCACGUGAUCGUGUGGAUGUUAAAGGGGUUUGAUUUGAACAUUAGACUCCAUUCAGCAGCGAGCACCUCAUCAG
ensembl:lncRNA